GUGUCAGCAGCCGCGGUAAUACAGAGGGUGCAAACGUUGCUCGGAAUUAUUGGGCGUAAAGCGCGUGUAGGCGGCCAGCUAAGUCGGUUGUGAAAGCCCAUGGCUCAACCAUGGAAGUGCGUCCGAUACUGGCAGGCUAGAGUUCUGACGAGGGUGGUGGAAUUCCCAGUGUAGAGGUGAAAUUCGUAGAUAUUGGGAGGAACACCGGAGGCGAAGGCGGCCACCUGGGAAGCGACUGACGCUGAGACGCGAAAGCGUGGGGAUCAAACAGGAUUAGAUACCCUGGUAGUCCACGCUGUAAACGAUGAGCACUAGACGUCGCGGGUAUUGACCCCUGCGGUGUCGAAGCUAACGCAUUAAGUGCUCCGCCUGGGGAGUACGGCCGCAAGGCUAAA
rnacentral:rRNA from 1 species